rnacentral:rRNA from 1 species
CCUACGGGGGGCUGCAGUGGGGAAUAUUGGACAAUGGGGGGAACCCUGAUCCAGCCAUGCCGCGUGUGUGAAGAAGGCCCUCGGGUUGUAAAGCACUUUCAGUGAGGAAGAACGCCUGGUGGUUAAUACCCAUCAGGAAAGACAUCACUCACAGAAGAAGCACCGUCUAACUCCGUGCCAGCAGCCGCGGUAAUACGGAGGGUGCGAGCGUUAAUCGGAAUUACUGGGCGUAAAGCGCGCGUAGGUGGCUUGAUAAGCCGGUUGUGAAAGCCCCGGGCUCAACCUGGGAACGGCAUCCGGAACUGUCAAGCUAGAGUGCAGGAGAGGAAGGUAGAAUUCCCGGUGUAGCGGUGAAAUGCGUAGAGAUCGGGAGGAAUACCAGUGGCGAAGGCGGCCUUCUGGACUGAAACUGACGCUGAGGUGCGAAAGCGUGGGUAGCAAACAGGAUUAGAUACCCUUGUAGUC